GGGUAUAGCUCAGUGGUAGAGCGCAUGCUCAGCAGGGGUUCAAUUCCCCUUUACUUCCA
rnacentral:tRNA from 1 species